rnacentral:rRNA from 1 species
AUUGAACGCUGGCGGCAGGCUUAACACAUGCAAGUCGAACGAUGAAACUCUAGCUUGCUAGAGAUGAUUAGUGGCGGGCGGGUGAGUAACAUUUAGGAAUCUGCCUAGUAGGGGGGGAUAGCUCGGGGAAACUCGAAUUAAUACCGCAUACGACCUACGGGUGAAAGGGGGCGCAAGCUCUUGCUAUUAGAUGAGCCUAAAUCAGAUUAGCUAGUUGGUGGGGUAAAGGCCCACCAAGGCGACGAUCUGUAACUGGUCUGAGAGGAUGAUCAGUCACACCGGAACUGAGACACGGUCCGGACUCCUACGGGAGGCAGCAGUGGGGAAUAUUGGACAAUGGGGGCAACCCUGAUCCAGCCAUGCCGCGUGUGUGAAGAAGGCCUUUUGGUUGUAAAGCACUUUAAGCAGGGAGGAGAGGCUAAUGGUUAAUACCCAUUAGAUUAGACGUUACCUGCAGAAUAAGCACCGGCUAACUCUGUGCCAGCAGCCGCCGUAAUAC